AUGAGCACAACUGCCAGAGGUGGCUAUCAGUACUUCGUGACUUUUACGGACGACUUGAGUAGAUAUGGAUAUAUCUAUAUGAUGAGGCACAAGUCAGAGACUUUUGAAAAGUUCAAAGAGUUUCAGAACGAGGUUGAGAAUCAGCUCGGCAAGACUAUAAAGCUUCUGCGAUCUGAUCGUGGAGGUGAGUACAUGAGCCAGGAGUUCGAUGAUGAUCUGAAAAGUUGA
rnacentral:rRNA from 1 species